AGCGAACGCUGGCGGCAGGCCUAACACAUGCAAGUCGAACGAACUCUUCGGAGUUAGUGGCGGACGGGUGAGUAACACGUGGGAACGUACCCUUAGGUUCGGAACAACACAGGGAAACUUGUGCUAAUACCGGAUGAGCCCUUCGGGGGAAAGAUUUAUCGCCUUUGGAGCGGCCCGCGUCUGAUUAGCUUGUUGGUGAGGUAAUGGCUCACCAAGGCUACGAUCAGUAGCUGGUCUGAGAGGAUGGCCAGCCACACUGGGACUGAGACACGGCCCAGACUCCUACGGGAGGCAGCAGUGGGGAAUCUUGCGAAUGGGCGAAAGCCUGACGCAGCCAUGCCGCGUGGAUGAUGAAGGUCUUAGGAUUGUAAAAUCCUUUCACCGGGGACGAUAAUGACGGUACCCGGAGAAGAAGCCCCGGCUAACUUCGUGCCAGCCGCCGCAGUAA
rnacentral:rRNA from 1 species